AGCCACUUGGAAUCAUGGGCCUGGUACCUUGUUUACAGAGAUUCUGGCAAUCUUACCCGUUUCACCUCCUGGACCUCCUCUCAUCAAAUGAUUCUCUCGUCGCCAGAGGAUCUGUACACCUUGUCAGCCUUGUACGCCACGGGUGCAGCCUUCCGCUCCGCUAAGCCUCCUGCCUGUACCCAUGGCCCCAUUUAGGGACAGCUCUACGACCUUGUACAGCCGGAAGUAGUUACAGAAGACUGACCAUCGUCCAUAUCCCCAAAAGAUUUCGGGGCCAAAAUGGGUUCGGGGGGUUUAUGAUGAGAAUUUUUAGGCUGCUUAAUUUUAAAAUGGCUUAUGAUGAGGAUUUUUAGACUGAUUAGUUUUAAAACUACAGAUGAGAUUCA